rnacentral:rRNA from 1 species
UACGUAGGGUGCAAGCGUUACUCGGAAUUACUGGGCGUAAAGCGUGCGCAGGCGGUUUUUUAAGUCUGUCGUGAAAGCCCCGGGCUCAACCUGGGAAUUGCGAUGGAGACUGCAAGGCUUGAAUCUGGCAGAGGGGGGUAGAAUUCCACGUGUAGCAGUGAAAUGCGUAGAUAUCGGGAGGAACACCAGUGGCGAAGGCGACUACCUGGCCUGUUCUUGACGCUGAGGCGCGAAAGCUAGGGGAGCAAACGGG